AGUGAACGCUGGCGGCGUGCUUAACACAUGCAAGUCGAACGAGAACGGAUUAUAGCUUGCUAUAAUUGUCAGCUAAGUGGCGCACGGGUGAGUAAUGUAUAGAUAACCUGCCCUCUAGAAAGGAAUAACAGUUGGAAACGACUGCUAAUGCCCUAUAUGCCUUUAAUACAUAAGUAUGCAAGGGAAACGCUUUAGUGCUUAAGGAUGGGUCUGUAUGGUAUCAGCUUGUUGGUGAGGUAAUGGCUCACCAAGGCUAUGACGCCUAACUGGUUUGAGAGGAUGAUCAGUCACACUGGAACUGAGACACGGUCCAGACUCCUACGGGAGGCAGCAGUGGGGAAUAUUGCACAAUGGACGAAAGUCUGAUGCAGCAACGCCGCGUGGAGGAUGACACAUUUCGGUGCGUAAACUCCUUUUAUAUAGGAAGAUAAUGACGGUACUAUAUGAAUAAGCACCGGCUAACUCCGUGCCAGCCGCCGCGGUAA
rnacentral:rRNA from 1 species